AGCACUUGAAUGAAUAAAUAUAAAUAUACACUGUGAUAAGCAUAUUAUAAACCUUUCUCUUAACGUUUCUAAGAUUCAUCAAUAUAGAUUCGGUAAAUAAAUAGUCUUCAUUGCGGUACUCAAUUAGAUUGUAUUUCAGGUAUAAACACAACUGGUAACGUACUUACACAUGGAAUGAUAAUAUAUUAAUAUUAAAAUUAGCAAAACUUUCGUUUAAAAAAUAUUGAUUCCAUAAUCCCAACCUUAUUUAUUAAUCAUUAAGCCAUAAAUACAGAAAUAUCAUAAACAAGUAAUAUAGUCGUGCACUGGGAAAUGCGUUUAAUAGUGUUCACUGCGUUAAUGGCUGCUUUGGUUGCCAUCUAGGUGGAGGCAUAUGCGGUUUCGAAAUGGGGGAUUUGUGCUCAUUGAUGGGACCCUGUGGUACCUUCAGGUAUUUCAGCAGGUCUUUUGCUAGUUCUUUAACAAGCACAGAAUCACUUGUUUGGUUCAAAUUUGCAACCACAUCUGGUAAACCACAAUGCGCAAUAUAAGCAACACUUUGGCUACUAGCUUCACACAUUGAUUUCAUAAUUUGAAAUAUGUUUAGGACCACAAUCGGCUUGGUCCCCUUAUGAGUUAACUUUUCUUUAAAUUUCUGGAAUAUUAUAGGCUGGCCAUAAGAGGCUGCCAAUCUUGGGGAAAUUUGACAAACCCUGCCCAAAGUAUCUAGCAUUCUGUUUGAGGAAGCUGAUUGAGAAAUACAGAACACCUUUAACACUAAUUGUACGUUUCUCUUCUCUGCCAAAACACGUUGUACUUCACGGAGUUCAAACUGCAACCAAGAUGCGAUCGUAUCAAAUACCGCAGAUUGCCAAUUAAGAUCUGAUAAUAACGAGAGAAAAAAAUCUAAGCAUUUAUUUUGCCAAAGAUAAAUUCUCGACACUGGACCAGCCUGUGGCAAAGCUAAUAAUAUCGGCAGCGCAAACUCCUUAAACAGUCUGUCUUUAAUAAUCACCUCUUGCAAUAAUGGAAUAGCACCAGAAAUAACAGCCUCUUCUUGCGAUUUCUUAUCUAGCUUACACACAUUGAAUAAAGCGGCCAAAGCUUCGCUUCUAAUUUCUUUUCGUCCUUUCUCAAUUUUGCUGUCACCGAGAAUAUGUGUCAAAAGAGGUAUUAUAUGAACUUUCCUAAGAAGCGACAAAGAUGAAGGAACCAUUGAAAGUUGCUUGAAAAACUGUAAGGUAAUCGCCAUAUCAGAAUGCGGCAGAUAAAGCAGAAUACGCAAUAUCCUUCGAAGAGCACUUUCGCAAAGAAGUGAUUCCUUAACAUAAUUAUCAGCCUGAGAUAAAGCCAAUAAAAUUUCACAUAUACGUGUUAAUGACAUUCUUGAAGAAUCAUCGUCAGUAGCCAAAGCUUUCAGCAUGGCUUUGGUCAAGGGCUCUAGUGAAUCAUUUACAACCAUCGUACAGAUAUCAUUUUUUGGAAUGUAAUCCUGUUGUCUCAGUAAUUUCCAUAUUCCUUCUACGCCAACAAAAACAAAGUCACGGUUCGUUCCAUAGUCCUCUUUAAUAAAUAAUAAAAGCGAAUUCAGACCAUUUGAGCUC